UAAUACGGGGGGAGCAAGCGUUGUCCGGAUUUACUGGGCGUAAAGGGCGCGUAGGCGGGUUUGUAAGUCAGAAGUGAAAUCUGUUGGCUCAACCGACAAACUGCUUCUGAUACUGUAAGCCUUGAGUAAGACAGAGGAAAGCGGAAUUUCUGGUGUAGCGGUGAAAUGUGUAGAUAUCAGGAAGAACACCGGUGGCGAAGGCGGCUUUCUGGGUCUUUACUGACGCUGAGGCGCGAAAGCGUGGGGAGCGAACAGGAUUAGAUACCCUGGUAGUCCACGCCCUAAACUAUGAACACUAGGUGUUGGAGGUUCGACCCCUUCAGUACCGUAGCUAACGCAUUAAGUGUUCCGCCUGGGGAGUACGAUCGCAAGGUUG
rnacentral:rRNA from 1 species